AGAGUUUGAUCAUGGCUCAGGAUGAACGCUGGCGGUAUGCCUAACACAUGCAAGUCGUACGAGAGUUUUUAACUCUAGUGGCGGACGGGUGAGUAACACGUGAGAAUUUGCCUUUAGGAGGGGGACAACAAUUGGAAACGAAUGCUAAUACCCCAUAUGCUUUCGAGUAAAAUGGAUUUUAUCUGCCUAAAGAGAAGCUCGCGGCUGAUUAGCUUGUUGGUAAGGUAAAAGCUUACCAAGGCGACGAUCAGUAUCUGGUUUGAGAGGACGAUCAGACACACUGGAACUGAGACACGGUCCAGACUCCUACGGGAGGCAGCAGUGGGGAAUUUUCCGCAAUGGGCGAAAGCCUGACGGAGCAAUACCGCGUGAGGGAAGACUGCCUAUGGGUUGUAAACCUCUUUUUUCAGGGAGGAAUAAAAUGACGUGUACCUGAAGAAUAAGCAUCGGCUAACUCCGUGCCAGCAGCCGCGGUAAGACGGAGGAUGCAAGUGUUAUCCGGAAUCACUGGGCGUAAAGCGUCUGUAGGUGGUUUAAUAAGUCAACUGUUAAGUCUUGAGGCUCAACUUCAAAAUCGCAGUCGAAACUAUUAGACUAGAGUAUAGUAGAGGUAAAGGGAAUUUCCAGUGGAGCGGUGAAAUGCGUAGAGAUUGGAAAGAACACCGAUGGCGAAAGC
rnacentral:rRNA from 1 species